rnacentral:tRNA from 1 species
GGAACCCUGGCUCAAUGGUUAGAGCAUUGGACUUCUGAUCAAUGGGUCGUGGGUUCAAUCCUCGGGUGAUG